rnacentral:tRNA from 2 species
GGAGGCGUGCCAGAGCGGCCGAAUGGGGCUCACUGCUAAUGAGUUGUCCCCCUUGGAAGGGGACCGGAGGUUCAAAUCCUCUCGCCUCCG